rnacentral:tRNA from 1 species
GGGCGUGUGGCUCAGUUGGUAGAGCGUUCGCUUAGCAUACUGUUCCCUUGUAUGCGAAAGGUCCUGGGUUCGAUUCCCAGCUCGUCCA